rnacentral:lncRNA from 1 species
GGCAGAUGCUAAUUUGCUACUGGUGUUCUUCGUAUUCAUACUUGAAUUAUUUUUAAAAGAAAAAAGGUUUUGGUAUUUUCUUUUAAGUGUUUUUUGUUUGUUUGUUAUAUAUAUAGACAAUUGAUAAUUGCCUUUAUAGAUACUUAUCGUCUUUGGCCCAACAUGAUAAGUUCCGCAUGUAUUCAAGUUAUUUAUAAUAAAUGUGUUAACUUUAAAUUGCUUGAACUUUAAAUCAUUUUGUAUUGAAGGUUUGAGUCAAUACCCAUUUAGUUCCACAUCAAUAUAUGUAUCAUACACAUGAUACAGUUGUAAAAAUAUUUUUAAACAAUAUAUUUUAUAAACAAGAAUAAGAACUAGAGGCUCUUAAGAGCCUGUGUCGCUCACCUUGUGUACAUAUCAAACAAAGGACACAGAUGGAUUCAUGAAAAAAUUGUGUUUUGGUGAUUGUGAUGUGUUUGUAGAUCUUACUUUACUGAACAUUCUUGCUAGUUACAAUUUUCUCCGUCUAUAAUAAACUUGGCCCUUUAUUUACAGAGGAAAAUAUUUUGUAAAAAUUUACAAAAAGAGGUAGGGCCAAUUUGUCCGGAUUUUUUUUUCACA